ensembl:snRNA U6 U6 spliceosomal RNA
GUGCUCGCUUUGGCAGCACGUAUACUAAAAUUGGAACGAUACAGAGAAGAUUAGCACGGCCCCUGUGCAAGGAUGACAUGCAAAUUCGUGAAGCAGUCCAUAUUUAA